GAUAACUGCGUCAGCCGAGAGGAAAGCCGCGCUAAACACUGAGAUGUAGAGAAGCAGCGUGACGAGAGACAGGCGAGUACGGAGUGGUGCCUCAGGAAUUGAUAUUUUGAAUGGGACGGCACUGGAGAGUGGGCUGUCUUCGAGGAAUUUUUGUGCUAAUUGAGGAAAGCACAAAGUACUUCAGUCUUUACUCUCGGCGAAGUGGAAUGGAUAAAAACAAAACAAAAAAGCACCUCACAUAGACAAUAAAACCACAUGCAUAAAAGACAUGGAAACUCACCUGGGAAAGAAGAGUCAGGAAAAGCUGUUAAGUCAUUGACCAGCUGAGUAAUCUCUAGCAAAAGCUUACAGGAGACAAUUUAAAACCUGGGACCCAAUGUCAGAAUCUGAGAUGUGUAUAAGAAUGGCAGUGGAGUUAUCAGGAGGGCCUUUGAUAAUGAUGCUUCCUGUUUGUCCAAAACAAGAGUACUCAUGCAGCAGGAAAGUUGAAAAGGAGCGGGAUGAGGGCUUCAGGGCUGACUCCCGAGCCCCCUCCACUCGCGGCAGAGCUCACCGCAUCGACUUCCGCGAACCGGAGCCUCCCGGCGCUCCCUCCCGGCCCAGAUAGAGGCACGACCCAGACGGUUCAGCAGGGCGAUCUCAGGGCGACAGGCAGGAGCCGCCCUUGUCCCUCCAGCGAGCGCAGCGCAGGCAGGACAUCCCGUCUGACCACGCGCCUCUGCAGACGGCUAAGGUACCACUCUCCCGUGGGCUUCCUCUCUGCGUUGU